UACGUAGGGUGCAAGCGUUGUCCGGAAUUAUUGGGCGUAAAGAGCUCGUAGGCGGUCUGUCGCGUCGGCUGUGAAACCUUGGGGCUCAACCCCAAGCCUGCAGUCGAUACGGGCAGACUAGAGUGCGGUAGGGGAGACUGGAAUUCCCGGUGUAGCGGUGAAAUGCGUAGAGAUCGGGAGGAACACCAGAGGCGAAGGCGGCGACCUGGACAGGUACUGACACUCAACUACGGAAAGCGCGGGGAGCAAACAGGG
rnacentral:rRNA from 1 species